UAAAAUAGUUCUUCGAGGACCAAGUGGAGGGCAAGUCUGGUGCCAGCAGCCGCGGUAAUUCCAGCUCCACUAGUGUAAAUCAUCAUUGUUGCGGUUAAAAAGCUCGUAGUUGAAAUCGAGUCAUGCAGUAUUGAAACGGCUUUGCCGAUAUUCUUUACGGUGACUAUUUUGUCGGUUCUUCUGUAGGUUACUUCGGUGCCUAUAGUGUCCGGCGAGUUUACUUUGAAUAAAUUAAAGUGCUUAAGACAAGCGUAUGCUUGAAUAUCUUAGCUAGGAAUAAUAAAACAGGACUACGGUUCUAUUUAUUGGUUCAGAAUUCGUGGUAAUGAUUAAUAGGGACUGUUCGGGGGCAUUCGUAUUUCUGCGCGAGAGGUGAAAUUCGGUGACCGCAGGAAGACGUCCUGAAGCGAAAGCUAUUGCCAAGUCAGUCUUCUUUAAUCAAGAACGAAAGUCAGAGGUUCGAAGGCGAUUAGAUACCGCCCUAGUUCUGACCGUAAACUAUGCCAUCUAGCGAUUCGGUGGGGCUCUUUAUUGCCCUGCCGAGGAGCUUCCCGGAAACGAAAGAUUUUCGGUUCCGGGGGUAGUAUGGUUGCAAAGCUGAAACUUAAAGAAAUUGACGGAAGGGCACCACCAGGAGUGGAGCCUGCGGCUUAAUUUGACUCAACACGGGAAAACUCACCCGGUCCGGACACCGUUAGGAUUGACAGAUUGAAAGCUCUUUCUCGAUUUGGUGGUUGGUGGUGCAUGGCCGUUCUUAGUUGGUGGAGUGAUUUGUCUGGUUUAUUCCGAUAACGAGCGAGACUCUAGCCUGCUAAAUAGUUGGCAGUUUUUUAAGACUGUUUCAACUUCUUAGAGGGAUAAGCGGUGUCGAAGCCGCACGAGAUUGAGCGAUAACAGGUCUGUGAUGCCCUUAGAUGUCCGGGGCUGCACGCGCGCUACACUGGAAGACUCAACUGGUCCUCCGGUGCCGAAAGGUACUGGUAAUCCGUUGAAACUCUUCCGUGACCGGGAUCGGGAAUUGUAAUUAUUUCCCUUGAACGAGGAAUUCCUAGUAAGUGUGAGUCAUCAGCUCACGCUGAUUACGUCCCUGCCCUUUGUACACACCGCCCGUCGCUGUCCGGGACUGAGCUGUUUCGAGAAGACUGAGGACUGCUAUAGUGAGGCUUCGGCUUUGCUAUAAUAGAAAGCCAG
rnacentral:rRNA from 1 species